GGCUCAGUGGCGGAUGGUUCCGCGUCUGCUAAGCACGAAAUGCUGAAGACAACCAACAGUAGGCAGAAUACGCUCGUUUGAAUCGAGCCUGAGCCG